rnacentral:rRNA from 1 species
UACAGAGGGUGCGAGCGUUAAUCGGAAUUACUGGGCGUAAAGCGUGCGUAGACGGUUAUUUAAGUCGGGUGUGAAAGCCCCGGGCUCAACCUGGGAAUUGCAUUCGAGACUGAAUAGCUAGGGUACGGUAGAGGGAAGCGGAAUUUCCGGUGUAGCGGUGAAAUGCGUAGAUAUCGGAAGGAACAUCAGUGGCGAAAGCG